rnacentral:rRNA from 1 species
UACGUAGGGGGCGAGCGUUGUCCGGAGUUACUGGGCUUAAAGGGCGCGUAGGCGGGUGCUCAAGUCCGGGGUGAAAUCCUCCAGCUCAACUGGAGAACUGCCUCGGAUACUGGGUGCCUCGAGUGUGGUAGGGGUGUGCGGAACUAUCGGUGGAGCGGUGAAAUGCGUUGAUAUCGAUAGGAACUCCGGUGGCGAAGGCGGCACACUGGACCACAACUGACGCUGAGGCGCGAAAGCCAGGGGAGCAAACGGG